rnacentral:rRNA from 1 species
UGAUGUAGGCGAUGGGUAGGCAAAUCCGCCCGUCAUAUACCGAGGCCAAUGAUCGAGCCAGCUUGCUGGUGAAGUGACUGAACGAGGUUCCAGGAAAAGCCACUAAGCUUCAGCUACACACGACCGUACCGCAAACCGACACUGGUGCGCGAGAUGAGUAUUCUAAGGCGCUUGAGAGAACUCAGGAGAAGGAACUCGGCAAAUUGACACCGUAACUUCGGAAGAAGGUGUGCCCUAGUAGUGUGAAGUGAACAACGGAGCAUGAGUGGGUUGCAAAAAAUCGGUGGCUGCGACUGUUUAUUAAAAACACAGCACUCUGCAAACACGAAAGUGGACGUAUAGGGUGUGACGCCUGCCCGGUGCUGGAAGAUUAAAUGAUGGGGUGCAAGCUCUUGAUUGAAGUCCCAGUAAACGGCGGCCGUAACAAUAACGGUCCUAAGGUAGCGAAAUUCCUUGUCGGGUAAGUUCCGACCUGCACGAAUGGCGUAACGAUGGCCACACUGUCUCCUCCUGAGACUCAGCGAAGUUGAAAUGUUUGUGAUGAUGCAAUCUCCCCGCGGAAAGACGGAAGACCCCAUGAACCUUUACUGUAGCUUUGUAUUGGACUUUGAACAGAUCUGUGUAGGAUAGGUGGGAGGCUUUGAAGCAGGGUCGCUAGAUCUUGUGGAGCCAACGUUGAAAUACCACCCUGGUGUGUUUGAGGUUCUAACCUAGGUCCAUUAUCUGGAUCGGGGACAGUGCAUGGUAGGCAGUUUGACUGGGGCGGUCUCCUCCCAAAGCGUAACGGAGGAGUUCGAAGGUACGCUAGUUACGGUCGGACAUCGUGACGAUAGUGCAAUGGCAUAAGCGUGCUUAACUGCGAGACUGACAAGUCGAGCAGAUGCGAAAGCAGGACAUAGUGAUCCGGUGGUUCUGUAUGGAAGGGCCAUCGCUCAACGGAUAAAAGGUACUCUGGGGAUAACAGGCUGAUACCGCCCAAGAGUUCAUAUCGACGGCGGUGUUUGGCACCUCGAUGUCGGCUCAUCUCAUCCUGGGGCUGUAGCCGGUCCCAAGGGUAUGGCUGUUCGCCAUUUAAAGAGGUACGUGAGCUGGGUUUAAAACGUCGUGAGACAGUUUGGUCCCUAUCUUCCGUGGGCGCUGCAGAUUUGAGGAAGCCUGCUCCUAGUACGAGAGGACCGGAGUGGACACACCUCUGGUGUAUCGGUUGUCACGCCAGUGGCAUUGCCGAGUAGCUAAGUGUGGAAGAGAUAACCGCUGAAAGCAUCUAAGCGGGAAACUCGUUUCAAGAUGAGAUCUGCCGGGGCCUUGAGCCCCCUGAAGAGUCGUUCAAGACCAGGACGUUGAUAGGUCAGGUGUGGAAGCGCAGUAAUGCGUUAAGCUAACUGAUACUAAUUGCUCGUGCGGCUUGACU